rnacentral:tRNA from 9 species
GUCCCCGUAGCUCAGCAGGAUAGAGCGACGGUUUCCUAAACCGCAGGUCGGAGGUUCGAAUCCUCUCGGGGACGCCA